rnacentral:RNase_P_RNA from 4 species
AUGAUCGGGCGAUCGAGCGCGCAGGCGUUAGGAAAGUCCAUGCUAGCACGGGCUGCGAUGCCCGUAACGUUUGUGCCAUACGAACCGAUAAGUAUGGGCACCGAGCAAUCGGUGACGGCGGCGAAAGGGACCUCAAAGGCCCCGGUAGCCCCAAGGUGCCACAGAGACGAGCCUUGUGAAACACACAAGGAUGAAACGCGGUAAACCCCACAAGCUAGAAACCCAAAUUUCGGUAGGGGAACGGGAAGCGGAUAACUGAAUCCAGCUGACUGACGGCGCAAGCCGUAGAUAAAUGAUCGCCGCCCCGCAAGGGGAACAGAACAUGGCUUACACAU